rnacentral:rRNA from 1 species
GAUGAACGCUAGCGGCAGGCCUAACACAUGCAAGUCGAACGGUAACAUAGAAAGCUUGCUUUCUGAUGACGAGUGGCGAACGGGUGCGUAACGCGUAUGCAACCUACCUUUAAUCGGGGAAUACCUCAGAGAAAUUUGGAAUAAUACCCCAUAACACAACAGAUUCGCAUGUUUUUGUUGUUAAAGUUUUGGCGAUUAAAGAUGGGCAUGCGUGACAUUAGCUUGUUGGUGAGGUAACGGCUCACCAAGGCAACGAUGUCUAGGGGUUCUGAGAGGAUGACUCCCCCANACUGGUACUGAGACACGGACCAGACUCCUACGGGAGCAGCAGUGAGGAAUAUUGGACAAUGGACGAAAGUCUGAUCCAGCCAUGCCGCGUGAAGGUGAC